AUUGAACGCUGGCGGCAGGCCUAACACAUGCAAGUCGAACGAGUGGCGGACGGGUGAGUUAUGUAUGGGAAACUGCCUGGUGGAGGGGGAUAACUACUGGAAACGGUAGCUACUACCGCAUACCAUCAGAUGUGCCCAGAUGGGUUUAGCUUGUUGGUGGGGUAUCGGCUAACCAAGGCGACGAUCCCUAGCUGGUCUGAGAGGAUGACUAGCCACACUGGAACUGAGACACGGUCCAGACUCCUACGGGAGGCAGCAGUGGGGAAUAUUGCACAAUGGGCGAAAGCCUGAUGCAGCCAUGCCGCGUGUAUGAAGAAGGUCUUCGGGUUGUAAAGUACUUUCAGCUGGGAGGCGUUACCCGCAGAAGAAGCACCGGCUAACUACGUGCCAGCAGCCGCGGUAAUAC
rnacentral:rRNA from 1 species